AAACAAGUCCAGCUCGGAAGCAAUAAACGGCUUCGCUGUGACUCAAAUGGAAACUUUAUCAUUUAACCAAGGAGUAAACUCAGAAGAAAGGGAUCAGACAAAUACGCCAGAAUCAGAAGACAAAGGUGCCCAGAUCAGGUGGCUGCUGAAUUAUGGGUAAUGGUACCCAUAAUCAGCCAACCAGAAAAAAAUGAAAUUGUACGGCCAUGAGGAGAAGUUGUCAUGCAACUGAGACUCAGCUCAUUAAGGGGAACUGAGGGGAG